rnacentral:lncRNA from 1 species
GGAAGGAUUUGGCUUGGCUUCUUGGAGGAGGUGGAUUAUGAGCCAGACUUCAAAGAAUGGGAAGGAUUUGGUCCAGGGAAAAACCGGGAGAAGAGGUCAUUGCGGAAACAAAGGCCGACAUGCUGCACAGGCCAGGCCCACUGCAACCCGACCCAUGAGACCCAUGCUUUUCCCAGGCUACCUCCCUGCCCCUGGAGUUACAGAUGCUCUUCUUCCAGAUCUCCAAUGGCGGCUUCCCCUUCCCAUUCAGGCCUCAGCACAAAUGUCAUUCACCUGACCAGUGUUGCUAAGGUAUUCCUCUCCAGGACCACGGAAAUAAGUGUCCCACUUCCACCCCACCCCCACAGGAAAAGUGCUUUCAUUUAGUUGAAG